GGGUUGUGAGGUUAAGCGACUAAGCGUACACGGUGGAUGCCCUGGCAGUCAGAGGCGAUGAAGGGCGUGCUAAUCUGCGAUAAGCGCCGGUAAGGUGAUAUGAACCGUUAUAACCGGCGAUACCCGAAUGGGGAAACCCAGUGUGAUUCGUCACACUAUCAUUAACUGAAUCCAUAGGUUAAUGAGGCGAACCGGGGGAACUGAAACAUCUAAGUACCCCGAGGAAAAGAAAUCAACCGAGAUUCCCCCAGUAGCGGCGAGCGAACGGGGAGGAGCCCAGAGCCUGAAUCAGCAUGUGUGUUAGUGGAAGCGUCUGGAAAGGCGCGCGAUACAGGGUGACAGCCCCGUACACAAAAGCGCAUGUGCUGUGAGCUCGAUGAGUAGGGCGGGACACGUGGUAUCCUGUCUGAAUAUGGGGGGACCAUCCUCCAAGGCUAAAUACUCCUGACUGACCGAUAGUGAACCAGUACCGUGAGGGAAAGGCGAAAAGAACCCCGGCGAGGGGAGUGAAAAAGAACCUGAAACCGUGUACGUACAAGCAGUGGGAGCCCCACCACUAAGCCAGUGGUGAACUCCACAUACGCAUCCUUUGCUGAGGAUACGGUUAACGGAGCGAAAGCGACGUUCAACCUCAAAAGAAGCAGAGGGGGCUUAGUGGUGGGGUGACUGCGUACCUUUUGUAUAAUGGGUCAGCGACUUAUAUUCUGUAGCAAGGUUAACCGAAUAGGGGAGCCGGAGGGAAACCGAGUCUUAAUUGGGCGUUAAGUU
rnacentral:rRNA from 2 species